GAUGAACGCUGGCGGCGUGCCUAAUACAUGCAAGUAGAACGCUGAAGGAAGGAGCUUGCUCUUUCCGGAUGAGUUGCGAACGGGUGAGUAACGCGUAUGUAACCUGCCUGGUAGCGGGGGAUAACUAUUGGAAACGAUAGCUAAUACCGCAUAACAGUAGAUUUUGUAUUAUAUCUACUUAAAAGGUGCAAUUGCACCACUACCAGGUGGACCUGCGUUGUAUUAGCUAGUUGGUGAGGUAACGGAGCACCAAGGCGACGUUACAUAGCCGACCUGAGAGGGUGAGCGGCCACACUGGGACUGAGACCGGGCCCAGACUCCUACGGGAGGCAGCAGGAGGGAAUCUUCGGCAAUGGACGGAAGACUGACCGAGAAACGCCGAGGGAGUGAAGAAGGUUGUCGGAUCGGAAAGCUCUGUUGUAAGAGAAGAACGAGUGUGAGAGUGGAGAGUUCACACUGUGACGGUAUCUUACCAGAAAGGGACGGCUAACUACGUG
rnacentral:rRNA from 1 species